rnacentral:lncRNA from 1 species
CCCCCCCUUGGUGGUCAGAGGCUUUGGUGUGACGUCUGUAUAUUGUCCUCUGCUCUUCAAUAUGAAGAUUGUGACCCUAGAUGACGUGGGAAGGACUGAGUACAUGGAGAGUUCUUCGGUUCCAGCUGGGAACAGACUGGGAUCCUGUGACUGAAGUGCUCCAGAUUCUGAGCCUUUGAAAGCAGAUCAGGAAUGUAAGAAACCUAAAGAUGGAAAAUUAUUCACAGUUACAACUUACUCAGGCAAAUAAAGACACACCAGAUGACGCUGACAGCAGAAAGAGUAAUAACACGGAAUUGGAAGAAUUGAUUUACAAGAUGCUGCAUUAGUAAACUGUAAAAGAGGUGAGUAUUACUGUAUAAAUGCAAACAAAGCUUCUUAACACCAGCACAGGGUAUUGGCAA